rnacentral:rRNA from 1 species
CACUUUGUUUAUAUAACAAAUGUGAGAUGCAGUGUAUGGAAUGUCAAAUUUCUAGUAUGAGAAAUUAACGAUUUAAGUCCUUCUUAAAUGAGGCCAUUUACCCAUAGAGGGUGCCAGGCCCGUAUAACGUUAAUGAUUACUAGAUGACAUUUCCAAAGAGUCGUGUUGCUUGAUAGUGCAGCACUAAGUGGGUGGUAAACUCCAUCUAAAACUAAAUAUAACCAUGAGACCGAUAGUAAACAAGUACCGUGAGGGAAAGUUGAAAAGAACUCUGAAUAGAGAGUUAAAUAGUACGUGAAACUGCUUAGAGGUUAAGCCCGAUGAACCUGAAUAUCCGUUAUAGAAAAUUCAUCGUUAUGAUUUUAAUAUUUAUAAUAUUGUAAUAAUGGUGUGCAUUUUUUCUAUAAAGGACAUUGUAAUCUAUUAAUAUUAAAUUUAUCAUAAGAUCAUUAAUGCGAAAGUUUAUUUAAAUUAUAUUGCUUGCAAUUUAACAUAGAAUAAAUGCUUAUGAUUUGAUAAAGUGUUGAUAGAUUUAUAAUAUAUAGUGCUUAAAUAUAUUUUUUAUAUAUUUUAUAAUGGUAUAGUAAUUAAUAAUUAUUAUAUUUAUUAUAUGCACUUAUAUGAUUAACAAUGCGAAAGAUUCAGGAUACCUUCGGGACCCGUCUUGAAACACGGACCAAGGAGUCUAACAUAUUUGCAAGUUAUUGGGAAUGAAAACCUAAUAGCAAAAUUAACAUAACUUAUAAAUAUAUGGGAUUAGUUUUUAGCCUAUUUAUAGUCUAUGAAUUCAAUCCCGGGGCGUUCUAAACAGUUAUGUAUAAUAAUAUUUAUAUUAUUUAUACCUCUAACUAGAGCGUACCUUGAGCAUAUAUGCUGUGACCCGAAAGAUGGUGAACUAUACUUGAUCAGGUUGAAGUCAGGGGAAACCCUGAUGGAAGACCGAAACAGUUCUGACGUGCAAAUCGAUUGUCAGAAUUGCAGUAUAGGGCGCGACA